rnacentral:rRNA from 1 species
GAUUGAACGCUGCGGCAUGCCUAACACAUGCAAGUCGAACGGGAGUAGCAAUACUCUAGUKGCGGACGGGUGAGGAAUACGUAGGAAUUUGCCCUUAAGUGGGGGAUAACCCGGGGAAACCCGGAUUAAUACCGCAUGAUCUCGAAAGAGCAAAGUGGGGGAUCGCAAGACCUCACGCUUUUGGAGAAGCCUACGUCGGAUUAGCUAGUUGGUGAGGUAAUGGCUCACCAAGGCGACGAUCCGUAACUGGUCUGAGAGGAUGAUCAGUCACACCGGAACUGAGACACGGUCCGGACUCCUACGGGAGGCAGCAGUGGGGAAUAUUGGACAAUGGGCGAAAGCUGAUCCAGCAAUGCCGCGUGUGUGAAGAAGGCCUUCGGGUUGUNAAGCACUUUAAGUUGGGAAGAAAAAACUCGCUCUAACACAGUGAGUCUUGACGGUA